GGUGUUGCAUGGCUGUCGUCAGCUCGUGUCGUGAGAUGUUGGGUUAAGUCCCGCAACGAGCGCAACCCUCAUCCUUAGUUACCAUCAGGUAAUGCUGGGGACUUUAAGGAAACUGCCAGUGAUAAACUGGAGGAAGGUGGGGAUGAUGUCGAGUCAUCAUGGCCCUUAUGGAGUGGGCUACACACGUGCUACAAUGGUGGCUACAAUGGGCUGCAAAGUCGCGAGGCUAAGCUAAUCCCUUAAAAGCCAUCUCAGUUCGGAUUGUACUCUGCAACUCGAGUGCAUGAAGUUGGAAUCGCUAGUAAUCGUGGAUCAGCACGCCACGGUGAAUACGUUCCCGGGUCUUGUACACAC
rnacentral:rRNA from 1 species